AUUGAACGCUGGCGGCAGGCCUAACACAUGCAAGUCGAGCGGAUGAAGGGAGCUUGCUCCUGGAUUCAGCGGCGGACGGGUGAGUAAUGCCUAGGAAUCUGCCUGGUAGUGGGGGAUAACGUCCGGAAACGGGCGCUAAUACCGCAUACGUCCUGAGGGAGAAAGUGGGGGAUCUUCGGACCUCACGCUAUCAGAUGAGCCUAGGUCGGAUUAGCUAGUUGGUGGGGUAAAGGCCUACCAAGGCGACGAUCCGCAACUGGUCUGAGAGGAUGACCAGGCACACUGGAACUGAGACACGGUCCAGACUCCUACGGGAGGCAGCAGUGGGGAAUAUUGGGCAAGGGGCGAAAGCCUGAUCCAGCCAUGCCGCGUGUGUGAAGAAGGUCUUCGGAUUGUAAAGCACUUUAAGUUGGGAGGAAGGGCAGUAAGUUAAUACCUUGCUAUUUUGACGUUACCAACAGAGUAAGCACCGGCUAACUUCGUG
rnacentral:rRNA from 1 species